rnacentral:tRNA from 1 species
GCCGGAGUGGCGGAAUGGCAGACGCAUACGACUCAAAAUCGUACGGGAAACCGUGUGGGUUCGACUCCCACCUCCGGCACCA